rnacentral:rRNA from 1 species
GACAGAGGGUGCAAGCGUUGUUCGGAAUUACUGGGCGUAAAGCGCAUGUAGGCGGUUCGUAAAGUCAGAUGUGAAAGCCCUGGGCUUAACCCAGGAAGUGCAUUUGAAACUCACGAACUUGAGUCCCGGAGAGGAAGGCGGAAUUCUCGGUGUAGAGGUGAAAUUCGUAGAUAUCGAGAGGAACACCGGUGGCGAAGGCGAGUUCCUGGACAAGACCUGACGCUGAGGCACGAAAGCCGGGGGAGCAAACAGG